rnacentral:misc_RNA from 1 species
AGGAUUAAUUGUUACACUAAUAGAAUUGAUCAUGCUUUGAAUUUAGCUAAACACAGAUCAAACUUAAUUUGCAAAUAACAACAAUGAAAAAUUGUAUGACAAGCAAUAAACUCUUCAAGAUUUUUGAGGUUCAGGUCCUAAAAUACCAUUGACUACAGCUCCGGCAAUCAAAACUCCGACAAAUUCAGCUCCGGCCACCGCUCCAGCUUGCGCCAACCCACCGAAACUUACUGUACUCUCGAUCUUCUCCUCCGCUGCUUCAAUCCCCUUCUCAGCCGUCAGUAAUCCUUUCUCCGCCGCUUCAAUUCCCUUCUCUGCCGCUGCAAUUCCCUUGUCUGCCGCCUCGAAUCCCUCCUUCACUAAUUCUUCUGCCUCAUCUUCUACUUUCUUAAGCUUCUUUCUCAGUCCAAAGAGGCCAAUGUCCGCAGCCUUGGACGGCAUCUCCAGCGCUUUCACUACCGUUGUCGCCGUCACCAGAGAGAUCAACUGCCUCCGCCCCCGGAGAGCCACCGCUGCCUGUUUGGUAGGGGGAUUUGUGUUUGCAUUUAGCACACAACGGGGUGGGUAAGUCCUUACUGUAAGUGAAGUAGUUGUGGAAGACAUGGCUAUGCUCUCUGUACAAUCAAAAUGAAGUCUGCACUCCUU